CGUGAACCACUGGUGGUUCAAGCCACCCAGCAGCGAGUGUGCGAAUUACAGCCCUGUUGUAAGUGUGUUAACCCUUGCAAGUCUGUGAGGAGAAUGCCACAUUACUCUUACAGGUGCGGGAACAGACAGAGAAGGAACGCAAGUUACUCUUUUUCCCCUCAGGGAUUGACCCCAAGACCCCGUGCACACUAGGCAAGUGUUCUACCACGACCCACACCGGCCACCCUGCAAGUUACCCGUUUUUCACACAGCUGACCGGAAGUGGUGCCAGGCACGUUUGACCUUGAGCUCCUGACAGUCUCCCUUCAGGAUAUCCGGCUAAUGGGGAGCUUCGGGGGAACACUUCCAGACAGAAAGACUGCUCGUGACUUCCGCUGCUUUCUCCUAGGAUACUGCAGUGCUUUUCUAUGGAGCCUGUGUCAUGAAGCCCCAGAGACCCAAAAAGGACCGGAUGCCUGUUUUAAACAGAGUGAGUCACGCUCAAUGAAUAGGAACGUUCCACAGAAGAUCAUUGUUCCCCAAGCCGGUACUGAUAGCCCAGCUCCCACACCCUCCACCAUGACUGACGCACCGCUUUUAGGUUGCAAGCGCGGCCGACGGCCCCUGGCCCGGAAGAUUCCUGCGAAGGCAGACAACGCAACGCCUCAGAUAACACAACUGGGCGCCGACAGCGCAGUCGGCGCUGCCCCAUGUAAACCUCAAGGCAGAGCCGCGCAGGGCCACGGCGACCGGAUCCGGCCCGGCUGGGGCAGAGCUGAAGACCCCUUCCCUAGACGCGCCGCUCAGUAGUUUAUGAAUCUCACUUAGAAUGCCCCGUUUUAAAAUUCUGUUCUGAUGUACUGAAAACUUUCUUCUUUGUUAGACAGUCAAAUGUGCCUAUAUAUUAGGUACCGUGCUAGAAACUGAGCUAGAAAGACAAUAAAUAAUCAUCGUCACCAAGGGCUUACACCUUCCUGAUAUGUUUGGAGAUAAACGCCCCCAGGUGACACGGAACAGUGAAGUCAGUGCCCCGAUGAUGGACGUCUCCUGGUCUUGUCCACAGCGUGCAGCCCACUGACUGUCCCCCACGAGUCCUUCAGCCGGCUGUGCCUCCUGCGUGCUUGCUCAGGAUUUGCGGGAAUUGACCUCCAAGCACAGCUGCAGACAGCGCCCUGACCGGCCCGCAUCAGCCAGCCUUUCCAUCUCACAAUUGGCUGUUGGGUUGGAGAGGGGCCUGUGUCUCUGGUUCAAGGCCAGAGCAGAAAGGAGAUCUCAACCCAGGUAGAAGCCGCUAGAAAAAAGCCUCUCCCAGAACAGGAGACGAAGUGCAGACUGAGGAGCAAAGUGCGGAGGCGAAAAGGAGUAACGUUUUUCAUGAGGUCACUUGAAAUGACUUUUUCAGUUACAUCAACCCCACAUUUUUCUUUAUUGUUUGAGUUUUUUAAUUUGUCACUGGAAUCCAAUUUUGUCACAUAUUCUAACUUAUGAUGAAGAAAGAAAAGGAAACAGGAUAAAAAAAGAAAUGAUGGGGGCCGGGGGUUUACCUCAGUGGUUCGCUGCCUGCCUUGCAAGCGCAAGGCUCUGAGUUUGAUCCCUGGUACAAAAACAAAAACACCAAAAAGAAAUGAUGGGGGCUGGGGAUUUAGCUCAGUGGUUCCACUGCCUGUCUUGCAAGAGCAAAGACCUGGGUUCAAUCCCCAGUACCAAAAAAAGAGAGAAAUGAUGGGUGAUACGCCAUCGUGUGCAAGCAGGCCAGAGGACCACACAUGAGUUGAUGGUGCAUAAGCAGCUACAGAGUCAGGGAAACCGGUGUGUGGAAAAGACAGCGCUCCCUGAGAGCUCUCAGCAUUUGAGCCCCUAUCUGUGUUGGGGGAUCUCCAGAAUCCUGAUGGAAAGGUCAGGCUCCCAUGACAAAAGCCCACCCCAGGCCCUUGGAGAUUAGGAUGCACCAAGUGAUUGACAGCCAGUCACGUGCUCCCCUGGGCCUUGGAUCCAAAGAAGCAGGAAAAGAGGAUUCAUCCCAGGCAGCGGCAGCUGUGUCUGGUUUCCAGCAGAAGCAUCGAGUGGUGUGGUGACACAAGUGUCCCCCUGGUAGGCAGGACAGUCUGUUCUCCACUGGUUCCUGCUG
ensembl:lincRNA